rnacentral:lncRNA from 1 species
AUCCUUUGAGAAGUCUCUUCGAACCAACAGAUCGGGGCCAUGCCAGUAGGAUUGCACACACAGGAACACGCUCAUGGCGGAUAUGAGCAGAAUAUACUACUAGCUCGUUUUGAGCUCAACAUGUACUGAGAGCAGUUGGAAAGCAGGCACACGGUAUGUACGGUGGACUUAAGCGGAGGCAAUUUAGUCUCGCCGCUUUGGACAUUUGCUCCAGUAAAACGGGUGCGAUGACGAAGCGUUCUUGCUUUUUCCGUCGAAGACUUUU